GACGAACGCUGGCUGCGUGCUUAACACAUGCAAGUCGAACGCUGAAACCCUGGUGCUUGCACCGGGGUGGAUGAGUGGCGAACGGGUGAGUAACACGUGAGUAACCUGCCCCCGACUUCGGGAUAAGCCCGGGAAACUGGGUCUAAUACCGGAUAUGAGGAACCCUCGCAUGAGGGAUGCUGGUAAGUUUUUUCGGUUGGGGAUGGGCUCGCGGCCUAUCAGUUUGUUGGUGAGGUAAUGGCUCACCAAGACGACGACGGGUAGCCGGCCUGGGAGGGCGACCGGCCACACUGGGACUGAGACACGGCCCAGACUCCUACGGGAGGCAGCAGUGGGGAAUAUUGCACAAUGGGGGAAACCCUGAUGCAGCGACGCAGCGUGCGGGAUGACGGCCUUCGGGUUGUAAACCGCUUUCAGCAGGGAAGAAGCCCCUCGGGGUGACGGUGCCUGCAGAAGAAGUACCGGCUAACUACGUGCCAGCAGCCGCGGUAA
rnacentral:rRNA from 1 species